CAUUGGGCCAAGUGAGACCAUUUCCCUCUGGUGGAUGCCACGAUGGGAGGAGGAUGUGUCGCAGUCCUCUGAUGAACAGUAAAGAGAAACAAAUGGCUCAAGAGGAACUGGACUACCCACUGUGCCACCAUACUGAAAAAUCAAUAAAACCCUAAAUAUGUUUGGCUAAUUUAGGUUUCUUGUCAAUUACAAGAAGUCCUAACUUAUGCCUCAAUAAAGAUUUGAGUGGCUGGAACACCAGAGAUUAAAAUAUGGGACUUCCUCUAACCAAGGAUACCAUAUGAAUAGUACAGGAAAGCACUGGAAAUACAGGAGGACCAGAGUCUUGUGUAACAAAAUGAAGCAAUAUACAAACCUUAUUGUGUCCAGGCAACUGGUCUCUGUCAACACUGUAGCAAUAAAAGGAUACGACAGUG